UACGGGGGGAGCAAGCGUUGUUCGGAUUUACUGGGCGUAAAGGGCGCGUAGGCGGCCACCGCAGGUCGACUGUGAAAUCUCCGGGCUUAACCCGGAAAGGUCAGCCGAUACUGCGGGGCUAGAGUGCAGAAGGGGCAACUGGAAUUCUCGGUGUAGCGGUGAAAUGCGUAGAUAUCGAGAGGAACACCUGCGGCGAAGGCGGGUUGCUGGGCUGACACUGACGCUGAGGCGCGACAGCGUGGGGAGCAAACAGG
rnacentral:rRNA from 1 species